UACUUUAAGCGGUGGAUCACUCGGCUCAUGGGUCGAUGAAGAACGCAGCAAACUUCAGGAAACAUGAACUUCGACAUUUUAAACGCAUAUCGCAGCCCACGCUGGCCAAAGAAACGGAGACUAAAGUUAAAACUGAGUGAGUAGAA
rfam:Drosophila ananassae strain TSC#14024-0371.13 Ctg01_17172, whole genome shotgun sequence.